UACAGAGGUCCCAAGCGUUGUUCGGAUUCAUUGGGCGUAAAGGGUGCGUAGGCGGUCGGGUAAGUCUGAUGUGAAAUCUCACAGCUCAACUGUGAAACUGCAUUGGAUACUAUUCGGCUUGAGGUCUGGAGGGGGGACUGGAAUUCUCGGUGUAGCAGUGAAAUGCGUAGAUAUCGAGAGGAACACCAGUGGCGAAGGCGAGUCCCUGGACAGGUCCUGACGCUGAGGCACGAAGGCUAGGGGAGCAAACAGG
rnacentral:rRNA from 1 species